rfam:Marininema halotolerans strain DSM 45789 genome assembly, contig: Ga0104500_109
AAUUGAAUAAAGCUCUAGCCGCAGACAGUCGGUGCAUACGAUGUGUGCAUAAUUCCGGCCGAGGUACAGGGAUUUGUAGUAUCUGUGGGUAUUCCUUUGGAAAACCCAUCACGGUAUGUUCCCGGCCUUCGUCUGCAAACAGCGAAGGCUUUUUUCAUUGCUUA